AGAGGGGUUCGUGUCGGCGACAGUUUGAAAUACGCAGAGUAGUAGAUUAUCCCUGUUGCUGCGCCUCUUCAUUGCCUGGUGGAAGAAGUUUGAAAUAAGUGGUGAAAUUCCUGCGUUAAAGAAUCGUUCUUCAAUCCUCUUUCUGUGCGCUUU